rnacentral:lncRNA from 1 species
UCCACUUACUCUAUCAGCUCAUAUUCGACUCGAGUUCGUAGAAUAACUGUUAAAUAUACUCGGCUUCGGCUUGUAUCUUUAUAUAUCAGAUAAAACACUACUGCUCAUGUUUUAAAUAGUACAUAAAAAUCCGGCAAACAAGUCCCAAAAAAUAUUUUCAUGCAUGAAAGAAAAAAUAAAAUAGCAUUAAUAUAACUCAACAUUGUUAGUGAAUAGUGGGGUAAGAAGUGUAAUCCCGCAGGAUGUGCGUGCUAAAUUUAAACGUUUUUAGGCCUCGCCGCCUUGCACAGCACGCGAGGCAUUGUCACAGAGGAGAGAUAUACAGAGACGAAUCUCGCGGCAAAUUAUGUCACACCGAUCAAAUAAACUUUAAAAUUAUAUUAAUUCACUAUUUUAUUAAAUUUUGAUAAUGCAGAGGAAUAAAACUAUACAUAUUAUAGAAGUAUUCAUGCUUUUUUUAUGCGAGAGUUAUAUUUUGAGGAAUUUAUAUCAUUCGCUGUUUUGAUUUAUACAUGAGCAUUUGAAAUUCCCAGCAAGUGUAUUUCACGAUUUUAAUAAGGAGUAGAUAGGGAAAAAACCAAACUUUUGCUAAAUAAAAUGUUAUGUUAACACUUUUAAUAAAAGAAAAUCAAUAAAAGUGAUCGCUUACCGUUACUCUUUGAAAAACGUUGAGUUUUUCUGUUUAUAUGCAUUGCUAGUUCUAUGUUUUAAGCAAAAGUGUUGAUGCAUGCGUAUAAUUUUUUGAUAUUUCAGUUUGAAAAUCUUUGGCUAUUUUAGUUGUUUUUUAAGCAUUAUAAGACAAAAAAAGUUAUUGCCUCUGAAAUAUUUAUUGUUAAUUUGUUAUCCUAUACUCGGGAGGUGCACGUGGAUAGUGCUCUCCACGCGCAAUUUGAUUGGAUGCACAGCUCCAGAUAUCUUUGCACUAUUCACUUCUGGACAAAAACAAAAUGGCUUCUCGUUUCGUUCCGGUUACAGACGAACAAAUAUUUGUACUGAACGAAGCUGCGCUUUCGCCAAACACGAGGAAUGCCAGAAACCGAUAUAACAGGGAUGCAAUGCGUGACAGCAUCUAUCUUUUCCGUCAAUUUUUUUCAAUAACACUUGAUCAUAAUCACCUCUUUAAAUUCUCAGGUGUGUGGGCAAUGUAUUUAAGAAGGUUGGAAAAGUAACUGCACUCGCUUUAGGCGGUGGACUACUCGUGUUACAGGUAUUGUAUUACCUACAUAGUGUGCAACACUGAUAAAGUUAAAUUGAUAUCAGACAAAUAAGUAAAUCAGUAUUGGGAAUGUUUAGCUUUCCACCUAUACUUUUCUUAUGUUCUAUACUAAUAUACUAUAGCGUGAAUUUACAUGUGGAUAUGCUGUGCUUUAUCAAGUAUUUCAAUUACCUAAUUACAUACGUAUUUACUUUCUACUCUCAGUAGUUGAACGACCAGGCCAGGAAUGGCUAGAGUUCAGUAAUUCAUGGCACACAGUCACGAAGUUCAAAUUGUUUUAUUACAACUUUGAGUUUUGUGGUUCGUUAUCCAUAUCAAUUAACGUCAUGCAUUGUUUACUUAUAUAUAAAAGUUUAGAAAGGAUUUUCAAAAUAUUUUAGUGAUAAUUAUUGCUAAAUUAGUCUAGCGCAUGCGCGUUUGAUACAUAUAGUUAGAGUUUCCAAACUAGCGUUAGAUGACAAGAAUGGCGUAUGCUGUUCAGUAGUAUUUAGAGAACUUUUAUGUGUAUUUUGUUGUCAUAGUGUAAAAUUAGUUGUAAUUAUAACGUACGGGGUUUCCCUUAAUGUUGAGACGUCGAGUCCGUUUGCCAAGCCCUUAUCCAACUCUCUUUUGCUGUUUGUAAUGUCUACUAUUUUUGUUUUAACGUAGUUUUGUAAAUUUUAGUGAGUUGAUUUAGGCUUCUUAUUAUACGUACGCUGGACUAUUUUAUCUUUACACUGACGAUGUGAUAUUACUUUCUUAACUGUGUUUAUCGUAACUUACCCUGUCAACUUUCACUGUGGAAGGAAACUGGAGCACCCGGAAAAAACCGACGACUUUCGCUGACGAGCGUUAAUAGACCUUUCCCCUUAUAACCAAAAUUUUGAUCUAGGCAAGUCUAGACAAAUAUUUCAUCACAGCUUGAAAGAGCAUCACAAAAUUAGUAAUAUUCCAAAGUUUUGUUACAAAAUGUUGUAAAAUGAGGAAAAUAGAGCCUUGCGAAAUUUGCAAUUUUCAGUCAUUUUGCAUUACAAACGGGAAAUUGCAGCCCCAACACCCGAAUCGGAUGUCAAUUUCCCGUUUGUAAUACAAAAUGACUGAAAAACGGCAAACUUCGCAAGGCUAUAUUAUCCGCAUUUUACAAGAUUUUGCAACAAAACUUUGGAAUAUUACUAAUUUUGUGAUGCUCUUUCAAGCUGUGAUGAAAUUUUUGUCUAGAUCGAAAUUUUAGUUAUAAGGGGAAAGGUCCAUUGAUUCUUCCUACAUGAGUCCUUAGCGAGAAUCGAACCCACGACCUCAGAGGUGAAAGGAGCUUGCUCUGACGACUACGCCUCCGUAAAUAUAUAAAUUUAAAUUAUAUUUAAAAUAAAUAAAAAAUAACCGUUACCUAAUAAUUGUUCGCUUUUUAAUUUCCUGUUGCAGCUAGCCUCACAGUCUGGUUAUGUCACAAUAAACUGGAAUAAAAUUAAUAAGGAUAUGGGAAAAGUCUCCGGGAAUAUCACGGAAAAGUUUGAAGAGUUCACGUCAUCCCAGGAACAACAGGGUGAAAUCGCAAGAUAUCUUAAGAAGGUGAGCGCUCUUUCACACAUUAAUUUCCAGUAUCCUGAGCAUAGUAGGGUUCGUUGGGAGCAUAUUAGGAGAGUCGAUGGGAUUCAUUUAAGGCACUUCGUAGUUCGCAAUAAUUAUUAGCAGUGGCGAAGCCAUCCCGACAAUUUGGUCAUGCUAUGCAAAUAUUUCCGCGUUCAUUGACUGUUAAAACAACCAAUUUCUAGAGAAAUGAAUAAUGAUGAUUUAAAAUUUGCAUAGCAUGACCAAAUUGUCGGGCUGGCUUCGCCACUGAUUAUUAAUCAGACAAAAUAAAUGUCAAGGAAUGUUUCUUAAUUUUAAGAAUGUAUAUACAGAUCAUCUGCCAUUAUUAUAAACGCCGUCACAAAAAGAAAGUAUGAAUGUGGUUAUUUAUCCUCUACUGCAUUUCGCUAGGGUGGUGAAGUCGUUAAAAAGAAUAUAGUGGUGGCAAGUGGGUUUGCUGGUGGCUUUAUGCUUGGAUUGGCAACAUAAUCCGUUAUUUCAUGAAAAAGGGGGGAAAUAGUUAUAGAAGAUCUGUAUUUCCAGCAUACCGGGCAUAUUCUUGCAGAAGAUGUUAGGAAUUCGACUUAUGGUUGCUUGAUUGGUAAAAGUAUGAAAAACUGAAAUCAAAUUUGAUUAUUACACAUUUUCAAGCGACGACAUUACUUGUUCCAUGUUUGUGACUUGGUGUACGUAGCGCCGCGCGGGGAGGCGAAAAAGAGGAACAAGCACUGCAUGGAAGUAAGCCGACACAAUGUUGCUGCUGUUAAGCCAUUAUUUGUUCGAACCUGAAAAGAUUUCAUCAAAGACCCGAAGAAAACAUUAAUUGAAUAAAACAAAAUUAACUGGACAGAUUAUGAAACUGAACAAACUUGAUACUUUUGAGCACCAUGAAACGAUUACUUUUCCUUACUUGCGGGUCCAUUGAUAACAUGCAUUUCUAUCUUUUUCGCUCUCCUUUGCGACGCUGCGUCUUAUUAUCUAUGCUAUAGUACAGAACUGAGAGAAAACACAGAACAUCCAGAAGAAAAAACUUUAUAUCGAUCACUUUUUACCAUCGAGUCAUUUUAAAAACUGAAAAUAAUAUUUUUCAUGCAUUUAUGAAACUAUCUACAUACUGUUAACACAGUUGUCACAGUUAUAACAAUUAAAAAUUUCGUAACAUAAUAAUAAUAAAAUCUUUAUUUAUACUGAUAAAAAAGACCAUGUGCAGUAUCGGUUCAUAAAAUAAAAAAGACCAUGUGCAGUAUCGGUUCAUAAACAUCAUGUGCAG